AUGAAACGCUAGCUACAGGCUUAACACAUGCAAGUCGAGGGGAAAACGAUAGAGAAAGCUUGCUUUUUCUAGGCGUCGACCGGCGCACGGGUGAGUAACGCGUAUCCAACCUGCCCAUCACUUGGGGAUAGCCUUGCGAAAGUAAGACUAAUACCCAAUGACGUCUCUAGAAGACAUCUGAAAGAGAUUAAAGAUUUAUCGGUGAUGGAUGGGGAUGCGUCUGAUUAGCUUGUUGGCGGGGUAACGGCCCACCAAGGCGACGAUCAGUAGGGGUUCUGAGAGGAAGGUCCCCCACAUUGGAACUGAGACACGGUCCAAACUCCUACGGGAGGCAGCAGUGAGGAAUAUUGGUCAAUGGACGAGAGUCUGAACCAGCCAAGUAGCGUGCAGGAAGACGGCCCUAUGGGUUGUAAACUGCUUUUAUAAGGGAAUAAAGUGGGUCUCGUGAGACUUUUUGCAUGUACCUUAUGGAUAAGGACCGGCUAAUUCCGUGCCAGCAGCCGCGGUAAUACGGAAGGUCCGGGCGUUAUCCGGAUUUAUUGGGUUUAAAGGGAGCGUAGGCCGGAGAUUAAGCGUGUUGUGAAAUGUAGACGCUCAACGUCUGCACUGCAGCGCGAACUGGUUUCCUUGAGUACGCACAAAGUGGGCGGAAUUCGUGGUGUAGCGGUGAAAUGCUUAGAUAUCACGAAGAACUCCGAUUGCGAAGGCAGCUCACUGGAGCGCAACUGACGCUGAAGCUCGAAAGUGCGGGUAUCGAACAGGAUUAGAUACCCUGGUAGUCCGCACGGUAAACGAUGGAUGCCCGCUGUUGGUCUGAAUAGGUCAGCGGCCAAGCGAAAGCAUUAAGCAUCCCACCUGGGGAGUACGCCGGCAACGGUGCAAACUCAAAGGAAAUUGACGGA
rnacentral:rRNA from 2 species